ensembl:lncRNA
CCGGGCGCAGGAACCCUGUCGUUUUAGAGGACUCGGAUUUCUCGGCUGGGCUGCAGCUGAAGACUUGCGGGGUUCAGACCACCGCUGGUUCAGGACACGGUUUUCAGCGACCCCGGGGUUGGUUCCUGCCCUCCCCGGGACGCGCCCACCCGGACAGGCGGGCGUCCCCCGCCCUGGGCUCCGCCCGCAGCACCGCGGGGCCGCGGCUCGUACCGCCCGCGGAGGACCCGGAGCUUCGGUUUCUGGACUUGCGGUCACCAAAGAGGCUCCAGAGUGACCCUGAGUUUGAGGAAAGAGUUCCAGUGGCUUGCUUUGGACAGAAGACAUCUGCAAACACGUUCUCACUGGGUGCUUCUGUGACACGCUCUGCAUGCAAGGGGACUCUCCUCAGUGUGGGUCUCAGCGCUCUGUGUCCUGGGUCAGCCUCAGGGGGCACCCAGGCUGCCAGCGUGCCUGCAGUCACAGCACUGGACAGUGCACGCUGGGGCGGCCCUGCCUGAGUAUGCAGGGACUGCUCCACGACCCCUCUGUGGCUGUGGCUCCAGCUGCAGGCCGCAGUCUUCCACGAAGCGGCCUGCUUUAAUCAGGCGCCAGAGCUGACCUCUGCCGUUUAAGCUUGUGCGUAGGCUUCCCUUCAGUGAUGGCACGCACAGGAGCCGACUCGCGGCCGGUGGGUGCGACGCUUGCAAUUCCACCAGGACAGAUGAGCCCGGGGUGGAGUCCGCGGUGUUGUCCAGGCACCAGUCCUCUCAAGGCUGACCUGCAACGGCUGCUGUGGGUCCAGCGGCAAAGCGGCCAGCAGCCUCCCAGCCGCGCCCUGGUUCAGCUCCGCGGGCGCCUUUGUCACCACCUGUGUCUUCGCUGUCUCCAGAUGGGGCUCUCCCUGCUGCUUUGUUUUAGCUCCAUCAAGUGAGACAUAAAAAGCUGUAAGCACGGAAGUGGCAGCAGGCUAGGGAUAGGACACCCCCUCUGCGGAGAGUGUGUGGCUCUGCACGGGCAGCUGAUUUGGGACAACUUAACUACGCUGGCAGGUCUGGGAUGAUGGGAAGUCCCACAAUGCAUCCUCGUGACCUGACCAGCUGCUCAAGCCGCCAUCCAAAUUGUUCCCUGCAUACAAAAUGUCUCUUCUCUGUGUAUAUUUCAUUUUUGCCAUACUUUAUCCUUAUUAUUUUUAAACACAACUACAUCAUGCACAUGUUCUCAUUCUAAGACAUUUUAACAACACAGUGAUGUACAAAGCUAAGGUGAUUCCAGUUUUUUCCUUUGACCUCCUUGCUCCUGCUUUGGGGGCCAGCAGCAAACACUUGGUUGCACAGUGUGCGUCCUGCCGGGGGCUCUUCUCAGUCACGUGACCAGUGCAUGCACAGGCGCCCAGGUCUCUGUGCUUUUUGCUUCCUGACAUAAACCAGAUUGCACCAGAGCCCAGGAAGCAGGGCUGUCACUGCUGACAGAUCCGGAAGUCAGAGAAGCACUGGGUACCUCAACAAUGUCCGUGGAGGGGCGGGCAUUGUGGUCAAGUGGAUUAAGCCACACUCCGUGUCACCUGCAUCCCAUUUCAAUGCUGAUUUGAGUCCCAGCUGUUUUGCUUCCAAUCCAGCGCCCUGCUAAUGCCCCUGGGACAGCAGCUGAAGAUGGCCUAAGUACUUGGAUACCUGAAAACAUAAGGAGACCCAGAAGAAGCCUAGUUCCUGAAUUUGGCCUGGCCCAGCCUUGGACAUUUUGACUAUUUGGGCAGUGAAUCAGCUGAUGGAGAUCUCUCUGUCUCUUAAUUCUGCCUUUCAAGUAAAUAAUAUAAAUCUUUGUUAAAAAGUUCAUGGAAAAUGCAUUUUAAUGAUGUUACUUUAGUGCAAAAUUUAAAAAAAAAAACCAUGCAAAUGCAGCAUUUUCAAAAAUGUCAUGGAAAGUGUUUUUACGGGAAACAUGCAUUCUUUUCAAAUAUUUUUGCACCAAAAUAAAUUUAUAUCUCAAUUCCA